GUCUACUGUAGUCGCCUUGUGAGUUCACGCCAAACAUCAACAACAGCCUAAUCGACUCGUCACAUCUCUACUUCACUGACUAAAUUUGGUACCAUGGCUGCAUUAGAAGAAAUCAUAGAUGAAGAAAUGUAUGAAAUGGAAGAAUUGUGACGAGUGAGGAUUCCACGCAUAUAUAAGAUCUUAUGGUGUAUAAUGUAGGUAUUGCAAAGUACAAAUAGUAUGUAAGAAUGAAUAAACUUAACCAUCUACU